UAAAAGAGUUAACUUUUAGUAAACCCUGCUCAAUGAGUAUUAAAUAGCCGCAAAAUUUGUGCUAAGGUAGCAUAAUCAUUUGCCUAAUAAUUAUAGGAUAGCAUGAAAGGGAUAACAUGUAAAUUUCUAUAUAAAGAGAAUUAUUCUAACUUACUAAGUAAGUUAAAACUCUUACAAAAUUAGAGGGACGAUAAGACCCUGUCAAACUUUACCAUAAAGUUGAGCUGGGGCGGCAGAAAAUAAUACCUUUACUUACUUAACACAAUAAAUCCUAUAUAAAUGAUAAAACAAGUUACUGCAGGGAUAACAGCACGAUCACCCAUAAAAGACCUUAUAAAACGGGUGGUUUGUGACCUCGAUGUUGAAUUAAAGAUCUUUUUGAGGCAGUCCUCUAAUAAGAAAGUCUGUUCGACUUUUAAACCAUU
rnacentral:rRNA from 1 species